GGGACACCCACAAUUGAAAUGGUAAGGCAGCAAGGAUCCUCUUUCAGAAGCUGUGCAGUAAUUGCAUCUACAUCGUCAUUGAAGCUAAAUAUGUCAAGUUGUUCAGCAGCACAAGGAAGUUCUCUUCUCCUCCUGUUUAACCUCCGAAAAAUUUCACCCGGUGGCACAAAAUUUGGCACUGGACUUGGAAUGGCUUCAUAUCUUCUACCAUAAAUAUCACGGAUCUUAUUUUCAAUCCACGCCAGCUGCUGCGCAAUCUUACGUUUGGAAAUGAAACUGCGGGAUGACCAAACUAAUUUUCUGAAAGCUCCUUUCCCAUUCUUCAUCUGUUGCUGUUGGGAAUCCAUGAAAAGGCCAACAACAUUCUCGGCCGAGCGGCAAACAUCGCCAAGUUCCUCCAUCCACGCCAUUCCUACUUCACUUAAUUGUUUUGAUUGUUCAAUAUCUUUUAGAAAAUCAUCCAAAGACCUGAAUUCGUCUCUUAACCUCCUGG
rnacentral:misc_RNA from 1 species